GCCAAAGAAACCUGUCGGAAGCCCUGGAUGUGGCAUCUGCAGCAUCAGAGCCCCAGCCUCUGAAGCCACCAAGACCUGAACAGCCUGUUAGAGACCACCACAAGCUGGGCUCCUCCCCCGCUUGACAGAAUCAAACAAGGGCAAGAGAUGGUGGCUGGAGCGAUGCGAAGGCACUGGAUGGCAAGCCCUCCCUCGGCCGUGGGCAGGGGGUGACUGUCCCGAGAGCAGAGGGACUCCGUGAAGGAAGCUGACUCGGUGUGACUGCACGUGAGAAGAUCUGGAUACAGCCGCAUAACCUUCCCAGGAGGACCCACAGGCCCCUAUGAGCUAGUGGGCAACUUCACAUAUUGGUGCUACUGCUUGCUCUGAAGAUGAUGAGUAGAAAGGGCCUUGAUUUAGCCUUUUGGGAUCUCAGUUUCUACCUCUCGAUGAGAUGAAUUUUCAGUGACUCAUAUGCCAAAAGUAUAUCAUGGUAUGUAUUAUAGAUGACAGAAUUCAAGACAUUGGUUGAUAAAAACAAAACAAUUCAAGGAACCAAGCAGAAAAGUUUGUCUGCUCAUUAUGUAAAGAAGAACUUUGUAGCUUUUAGAACCAUCCAGCAAGGAACUUGCC
rnacentral:lncRNA from 1 species